UUCAUUAAAGUAAAAAAAAAAAAGAAAAUCCAAGCUUCGAACUUCAAACUUGAAAAGCUCAAGGGAACUCGAUCAGUUAAGCAAAGAACGAGAAGAGGUGCUGGAAAUCAACAAGCUUCACAAGAAGCUUCAAGCUAGGAGGCCAAUGCCACUGCUAGCCACCCCAGCAUAGCCUCUGCAACAACCCAAACAGAAAUCAGAAAGUAGAAAUCGAAAAAUAAAAAUGGAAGAACAAAGAAGCGGAAAUUGACAAGAAAAGCAGAGUUCCAGGUAUCCUUCUGCAAAUCUAGACAAUGAGAAGGUGGCCGACGACAAGAGGAGACAUAUAAUACGAAACCGAAUCCAUAUGACGACGGAUGGCAACAGAUUGAGGCUGUUGGAGUCGAAAUCGUGCUUGGGGUUUCAAAGAUUUUGAUUUUUCCUAGGAGAAAUCUCAAUCGCUGGAUGUAUAGAGGGUGAGGAGAGCUUCAUUUUGGUGGUGGUACUAGUCGGGGUGAUGUCGGAGACCGGCAAUAGAAGUGAGCAGCGACCGCCUGAGGAAAGCUUGACAGAGAUCUUUUGUUUUUGUUCAAUUUUUAAACAUAAAAGAAGAAAAUGAAAACGAUUAAUAUAAGUUUUUGUUCAUUUUUUUAAUUUUAUUUAGUUUGUAUAUAAAUUUUUAAUAUUUUUAAUGUAUUUGUUAAUUUUUUUAAUUUUAAAAUAAUUUUAAUAAA